AAUUGAUGCACAUUUUUGUUUAAUGACUUUUUCCAAACCUCCCCUGUUUCAUAUAUCUGUGAUGUUGCAGUCGGUUACAUUUACCUAAAAGAAAUGUAUGGUAAUGAGUGAAAAAUAUUACAUUUAUUGCUGUCAAAUAACAAAUGAACUCAUCUGAAUAAUCACAAAUAAUUAUCACAUUAAUCAUGUAUACGCAGAUCAAUUGCGCAAUUUAUUGUUGGCUGUAGGGCUGGGCGAUAUGGCCUUUUUUAAAUAUCUCAAUAUUUUUUGGCCAUAUAGCGAUAUACGAUAUAUAUCUCGAUAUUUUGCCUUGGCUUUGAAUUAACACUUGAAACAUUAAUCACAGCAGUAUGCUGAUUCUAUGUGUCUACAGUAAAACAUUCUUGUUCAUACUGCAUCAAUAUAUGCUCAUUUUAAACUUUCAUUGCAGAGAAGGAAAUCACAACUAAGUCAAAUGACCAAAACUGUAUUUAUUUAGCAGUUAUUAAGCAAUGGCAUAAAUGUUCAUGUCAUUUCCAAAACAGAAAAAGCAAGAUUGUCAGAGAGAUUUUAAGUGUCGAAUAACAACGAGCUGCAUAAUAGGAAAUCAAAUAGUGUUCGUCCUUCGCUAUUAAACGUUAUUAAAUUCUGUUGUUGACUUUUUUCAUACGGUGUUGAUCUGGAAAUGUUUGCCUCGGCAUUUUGAUGGUGUGGGCGUGUGGCACCUAACGGAGAUGUUGGUUCCCUGCUGGCUCCACUUUGGAUGGGACUCUCGUUACUAUAUUGGAUCCACUUUGGACUUGAUUCUGACGGUUACGUUAGAUCCACUAUGGAUUGGACUUUCACAAUAUCAUGUUAGAUCCGCUCGACAUCCAUUGCUUUCGGUCCCUUAGGGGGGGUGGUUGCCCACAUAUGUGGUCCUCUCCAAGGUUUCUCAUAGUCAUCAUGGUCGACGUCCCACUGGGGUGAAUUUUUCCUUGCCCUUAUGUGGGCCCUACCAAGGACGUCAUUCUGGUUUGUGCUGCCCUUUGAGCCACUUGUGAUUCAGGGCUAUAUAAAUAAAUAUUGAUUGAUUGAUUUAUUGACAUGCGGAGUAAGCACUCUUCAUUCUCCAGCAGGCGACUUUUCAAAUGAUGCUACAUAUUAGCAGUAAUGCUACUUUUUAUAGCAACGAUUUUGGCCCACACUUGACAAAAUACGGUUGUCUGUUCGACAUAUUCCCACUUCAAGCCAAACCAACGCCAGACGAUGGACCCCCUGCUGUUUUUCUUGGGAAUUAAAGGGGAACAUUAUCACCAGACCUAUGUAAGUGUCAAUAUAUACCUUGAUGGUGCAGAAAAAAGACCAUCUAUUUUUUUAACCGAUUUCCAAACUCUAAAUGGGUGAAUUUUGGCGAAUUAAACGCCUUUCUGUUUAUCGCGCUGGAAGCGAUGACAUCAGAAUGUGACGUCGCCGAGGUAACACACCCACCAUUUUCAUUUUCAACACAUUACAAACACCGGGUCUCAGCUCUGUUAUUUUCCGUUUUUUUGACUAUUUUUUGGAACCUUGGAGACAUCAUGCCUCGACGGUGUGUUGUCGGAGGGUGUAACAACACUAACAGGGAGGGAUUCAAGUUGCACCAUUGGCCCGAAGAUGCGAAAGUGUCUGCCGCCAGACCCCCAUUGAAUGUGCCAAAGUGUCAUUUUACCGGCGAUGCUAAAGCAGACAUGGCACAGAGAUGUAUGGAUAACCUGCAGAUGCAUUCCCAGUGGGCACCCAUCCUUAGUUCAACGUCGAGGUGAGGUUGAAAUUACGUCGCGACGUCACUCAACCAUAUCCCGACCAAAUCACAACCAACUGACCCCACCACACCAUAUGUUGCAAAUCUGGUUUGUUUUCAUCAUUGGGGGACAUCGUCUUUUCAACGUCGUUUCAACGUGUACAAUUCAACUUGCCAAACAUUCUGCGCGCAUCGGCCAUUUGCGACAGUUUUCAACGAAACCGCUGCUUGAUGGCAGCGUGAACUAAAAGCCAAGCUUGUGCGCAUGCGUGCUGAAGUACUUCCUUUUCAGUCCAGCAAGCAAGACUAAGAGCGAAGAUUUGAAUUGGAAAUCGAACUAUUUCACUGCAAAGAAAACCAUCGACGUCCAUAAAGAUUCAGAAAUUGGAGACAGUGGAGGAACUACUCGACCUUGACGAGUUGAUAAAAACUCAACCAAGCAAGAAAGAUUUGCUGACAGCCAGGCUCUCAAAGAUUGGUGGAUAUGACUUAAAGAGCUGUUUAAGCACCAUCAUGGACAGGCUCAUGACAAAUGAAUUAAUGUCCAAUCUGAACAUGAAGGGGAGAGGGGGGAAAAAUAGCUUUGCCGAGACGAAGCUGCUCGAUUUAGUCACAGCCAGUGUCUUGGAUACCCAGAAGGGGACCGAAACGAUGGUCCAUGAUGCCAUAAAAAAUAAACUGAAAUAUGCCCCUGGACGGAAGGGAGGAAUAGAAUGUGCAUCACAGGCUAAAUAAAUAAUUAUAUCGAUUGACAUUCUCCAUUUUCUUUGUACUUAAUUUUAAUUUUGCAUUAACAGGAUUCAGCCUGGAGCUAUAUCUGCACUAUGUUUUGUUGUCUUUAAUUAUAUUUAUAUAUUGGUUGAUAUUACGUUGAUAAUUGGUUGGUUGAUCUUAGGUUGAAACUGAAAGUUGAAUCAACGUUGAAACAUUGACGUAGAUUCUACGUCGGUAUUCAAACGUUGAUCCAACUUUCAUUUUCAACCCAAAUCCAACGUUAUUUCAACACGGGAAAGUAACAUUGUUUCAACGUUGAUUAAACGUCUCUGUUAGGUAGAAACUUAAAGUUGAAUCAACGUUGAAACAUUGACGUUGAUUCCACGUCUGUAUUUAAACGUUGAUCCAACUUUCAUUUUCAACCCAAAUCGAACGUUGUUUCAACACGGGAAAGUAACGUUGUUUCAACGUUAAUUAAACGUCUCUCUGCCCACUGGGUUUGCAACGAUAGUCAACGAAAUCACAAAGGUGAGUUUUGUUGAUUUUGACUGCCAGCUAAUUGAUGCUAACAUGCUACGCUAAUCGAUGCUAACAUGCUAUUUACCGGCGGUGCUAAAGCAGACAUGGAACAGAGAUGUAUGGAUAACCUGUAGAUGCAUUUGCAACUCUUAUUACGUUUCCUUCCACCCACAUUUAAUGCGAAAAAAACACUUACCAAUCGACGGAUUUAAGUUGCUCCAGUGUCAAAAGAUGCGAAAGUCCUGAUCGUUUGGUCCGCACAUUUUACCGGCGAUGCUAACGCAGCUAUUCGGUCAUGCUUUGGCUAUGAAUAGCGUCAAUAGCUAUUCGCUCAAUAGCUUCAGUUUCUUCUUCAAUAUUUUCAUACUCCAACCAUCUGUUUCAAUACAUGCGUAAUCUGUUGAAUCGCUCAAGUAGCUGAAAUCCGAGUUUGAAUCCGAGCUAAUGUCACUAUAUCUUGCUGUGGUAUUCCCAUUGUUUGUUUACAUUGGCAGCACUGUGUGACGUCACAGGGAAAUGGCCAGUGUCUUCGCAGAGAGCCGAAAAUAAGGCACUUUAAAGCUUUAUUUAGGGAUAUUCCGAGACCGGUAAAAUUUAAAAAAAAAUUCAAAAAAUACAACAAGCCACUGGGAACUGAUUUUUAUUGUUUUUAACCCUUUUGAAAUUGUGAUGAUGUUCCCCUUUAAUUCUUCCUUCAUUCGCACCUUCUCUGUCUCGUAUAACCCCUUGCACGGCUGCGCUAGUAUUACAGCUAACGUUACCCAUGCUACUACCUCUCUGCUCCGCGAGGGCGUAUACGUAUGUGACGUAUGAUGUGACAGUAUGUGACGUGUGUAAGAAAGUGUGCUUGUCUGUGAGAAGGAGAGACAAGAAAGAGCGAGAAGAGCCUGAAAUGUAAUGCCAGCCGCUAUAAGCAACUGCGUGAGAACGUAUGCUCAAAUAUCACGAUAUAGUCAUUUUCUAUAUCGCACAAAGACAAACCCGCGAUAUAUCGUGUAUAUCAAUAUAUUGCCCAGCUCUAGUUGGCUGUACAUGCUACUUGACCUGAACCACAGCUGGUUACCUGAAAGGCAGAGCAGUUUGUUAGGAUGAGUGAGGAGACUUCAACUGGUGCGUUCGGUGGGAAAUUUUACUUCAAAAUAAACCCUGAUGUUACUUUAGGUAAAACUGUUAGCAAGUUUAAUGCAAAUAAAUGUAAUGUAAUGUAAAACUUUUUUUUAAAUUCCUGAAUGACAUUCUGACAAUAAAAUUGCUUUUGUGUCCAAAUAUAAUGUUAAAAUUUAUUCAUAAGCGCUUCAAACAGAGAAAAAAAGAAAUUCAUGAAUGUAUAAUUAUAUUUAAAAAAUGCAAGCGAGUAAUAACUUAUGAUUAAUCAUAAAUAAUUAAAAUUUAAAAAAUUAUCAUUUGACAGCAGUAAUUAAAAUAUAAACACUUUUUUGUUCAUUAAUUUACUUUGAAUACUAAAAUAGCAUUUCUAAUACAAAAAGUACCAAAAGAACAGGAAGAAGAAAAAACUAAUACAGUUCUGCCCCAUUACUAAUGAUUUUAUUAUAUAUCAACAAUACAAUACAAUAGAUAAUGACCUUGUACAAUAAUAUUUAGUAUAUAAAUAGUAUACCUAAUUACAUCCAUAAUAACUCACAAUAGAUAAACCCACUCAUCAUUUUAUCAAAUGUACUUUAAUUAAUUAAAUUAUACCCUUAAGAUAUUUUACGUUUUCUCCUCCUUGUUGUACCUAAUAAAUAUUUAUUUUUAAUCAGAUUCAGCUUUAUUGGCCAAAUGUUUUACACACAAAAUAGAAUGAUUCAUCAUCAGAAUGCAUGCAUGCAUAUUUUAGCUAAUGGAAUGUUGACUUCAUUUUUUUUUGUCAAGCAGUUAACCAUUAUUUUUGAUUAGAUACAAUAAAUUACCUAAUAUUUAGUUUUCAAAUUUUGACUAAAUGUGAUCAAAUGACAAGAAAACAAUCACUAAUCAAAUAAAUGUUUUAUAUUUUUGUAACUGAUUUGAUGGAAAUACAAUCCAUUUCAUUCCAUUUCACAACCGUUGAAUACGAUAAAUGCCAUUUUAUAGGUGAUGCACAGUGCAAGGUAGUAGUAAUGAACGGGAUAUAUGAUCAUUAUAAUACAGAUUUAAAACAGUUCCUUGCAAUGUAGAUAAUAUUUAUUGCAUAUACUUUGGUGUAAAUUUUGUUCCCUAUAACCCAUUUUUUCUGAAUCUGUCUGCAAGAUGUUCGUUUGUGGAGGAGUUCCCAGAUUGCAAAUGAAACCAACCCCCAACCUCUUCAAAAGUAUCAUAAUUAAUCUUUCGAUAAUGUACGCUGUUUGAAUAUUAACUUGGAAAAGAACAUCACCGCUAUUUUUUCCCAGAUAUGGUUGAGAAUAAACUCCAUAAACAUUAUAUAGAUUAACACGGUCAGAAUAUUAGGUACACCUGCACACAGGGCCAGGCCGUGGCAUUAAUACUCCAUACAGUUGGUUAGGGCCACAACCAGUACUUAUUUGAUUGUUUUUCUUUCAUUUUAAAUUUGUCAAUUAAAAAAUACGGCGUCAUAAAAGUUAAGAUGUUAAGGGUGUUUGAAUCCAAUUAGGAGGCGUAACACUGCCUACACCCCCUUUCAAAAUUGCAAACUUGUUCAUUUCUCCUGGUAGCAGAAAACCUAACACUUCACUGUUCACUCACAGACAUCAUAAUAACGACAUUCAAGCUCACAUUUAUUCAUUCACACACAGCGCCAACAUUUAGGAACCAGGAUGAGGUGAUUAAAAGGUCAAAAACAUAAUAAAUCUAAUUGUGGUAGCAUCAGAAAAAGUUAUGUUUAAGUUUCAAUUUUCCAUCGCAUAGCACAUAACUUAAAAAACAUAGUUUUACCCAAAUUAACUCAAUAAUUCAUACUUCAGUGCACGUAAACAUACUGACUGUCUACGUGGGGUAUUGAUGUUAGGUUUAGGGUAGGGUUGGGGUGUCGUCAGGCACCUAAUAAGGAUAAUAAAUAUGUUAUAAUAAAGACCAAAAUGGGGACACAAACAAAAUCUUGUUAAGGUCCACAAAAAGUAUCGUGUAAGGUCCACAAAAAAUCUAGUGUCGGGAUGCACAUUCUCCAAUCGAUUCAAAGUCUGCAUAAAAAAGCAGCUGUUAACAGCAUUUAUGUCACUGCAUGUCACACAUUUGUGUUAUCAUGCCCACGCCAAGAUUAGAUGAAAAUAGUACUUCAAUCAUGAUUUGACGCGUUAACAGUUUAUCCUGAGUAUUUAACAUUGUUUAUAACAACAUAUAUAAGUCAGAAAAUCAUCUUAGGUCCCCGAUCAAUUCACCGACUAAGCUGAUGUUUAGAAAUAAAACAUUUUUUAUUCCUGUUUGGUGUGUAAAAUAAUUUUACAUCACUGAUAUUCUCCAUUAAAAUGUUUUUUAAAGAGCAGAAUUUUGCAUCAUUCUGUCCACACAACAUUAUCACUUACAAAGGGCGCCAGGUGGGUGCGUGUACACGUUUAAAAGCAGAUGUCAAAUUUCUUGUUG